UCUUAUGGAUGGGCAAAGAAAGUGUUUUCUUAAGACGGAAUUUACUCCUGGUGAAGAUGCUGUGAA
rnacentral:pre_miRNA from 2 species